rnacentral:lncRNA from 1 species
UCCUAAACGUUCCUGAUCAUAGGAUUGCCAAUUGGGCAUUGACAGUCCGUUAAGAUCAGUACGUGUUGUGUAUUCUCUCAGGGAGAGUGACUAGUCUCGAGUCAUUGGUGUGUGUGACAUCAAGACAAGUACGUAGGUGCUCAAUAGAGAAUGAGUUCACUGAACACGAUCAACGAAGAGGUCUCAUAUUCAUGUCAUAUGAGAACUCAUGGUUGGGAUAAUGCAAAGUAGUCCUUUGACCUGAGGCAUCAUAGUUGUCUUGUGAUUAAGUCCUUGAUCUUUGAUUAUGUCAAAGUCACUCCAUCAGGAGGGUUUCCACGGCAUAGUUGGGGUUAAGCCACUUAGCUAUGGAGGCAAGUGAAUGCGCAACAAGGGAUCUAUAACCUUCAAACCGUUUGGGGGAGAAUACUCUAUGAUAUGAUUUAGAAUCUCUGGCCAGAGUAUGAAUGAGAUUUAGGAAAGUCGUUCCAAAUCACAUUCAAGGUAAUCAUAUAAGCACACGAAUCACAUUGGAUAGUAGACAUGAAUAAACUAUCAAACCAAACAAUGUGGUCAAGAGUAUUGUAUUAGAGAAAGACCGUAUUGCAUUUGUAAUCCUAAACUGAAUAGGUUCUCUACCUCUUCUGAUUAGCUUGGGUUGAAGGGAAAAUUAUGAGUUUAACACAUGGGAUUUCUAAAUGACUAGCAUGCAUAUACAAUUCAAAAUUUAUAUACAUGAGCAACGAAAGCAAUUUAUCAAAUAAUAUCAAAGCUAUAGUCAUGCAAAUCCCUUUCAAGGUUCAUAGGUUUAUAUAUAAUGCAUCUAAAACAUUCAAGUUAAUAAUAAAGUUAAGGUAUAGAUCUAUACCUCUUGAUCUUGAUUUUAGACCAAGUAUGGACCACCUCCAAGUCCUUUGCUCCUUGAAGUCCUUGAGCCUAGCCUCCCUCCUUGCCUCCUCCACUUUGUUAGUAAGAGUGCUCCAAGGUUCUCCUUUAGUCUCCAAAGGAGAAGACCUCUAAAUAUCCACACCCACUAGUGUAGUGAGAUGGAUGGAGGAAUAACCAAAAGGGUGAAAGAUUGUUAGCUAAAACACCCUCAAGGUGGUCGGCCUUUUGUGGUUUUAGAGAGAUGUUUCUUUUGCCUCUUUGUUGUUUUAAAACACACAAAAAACCUUAAGGAUUAAAUCUCUAUAAAGCUCCUUAUAUAGACAAAAAGAAACCUAGUCAACAACUUGACGAAAUAUCUCUCCCUCUCCACUUUAAAGGGCUGGCCCCUUUGUGUUGGUUUGGGCUUUGGGCUUUUAUUUAUUUCUAGUCAUCCAAUGCUUGAAUAAAAGCCCAAUGGCUUUAGGCCCAAUGGGCCCAAUUAAACCCGAACGUUUCUUUAAGCCCAAAACGAUCUUUUAUCGCUUUUAUGAUUUCUUUAGACUUUCUAAAUUAAUCACAACACUUAAUUAAUCCAAUUAAUUAUUUCCAUCAUCCAUUAAUUACUCACUACAAGAGUAUAUCGGUGUACAAUCAUUUUAGGUUCUAAUUAGCAAGGCAGUGAGGUGAUUGACAUCAAUCCAAUUGAUUAUAUUUAAUCCAAUCACUUAGUGAAUUAAAACUUCCUUUUAAUUCACCUUUCUUCUUGAUGACUACAUUUAAUCAUCUAGAAGAACUCACAAGCUAUGAGUGACAUCUAACCAUAUGUCAUAGCUACCCAAGCUAAUGUAGAAGUUGUUCGGAGAACCUAUUCAGUUGGAAUUACAAUGUAAUUCGAUCCUUCUCUAAAACAAUACUUUCAAUCACAUUACUAGGGUAUGGAUAUAUUAUGUCAAACCCCUAAUGUGAUUAUUCCUUCUUAUAUGAUUCAAUUGAGUCGUAUAGGAACGCUUUCCUUUAUUACACUCGAUACUUCGGCCGAAGAUUCCCGAAUCAUAUCUUAGAGUAUUCUUCCUCCCUUAUCGAGGAUUAGAGAUUCCUUGUUGCACAUUCACUUGCCUUCAUGACUAAGUGGCUUAACCCCAAUUAUGCCGUGGACAUCCGCGAAUGGGGUGACUUUGACAUAAUCAAAGAUUAAGUACUUAGCCACAAGACAACGACGAUGCCUCAGGUCAAAGGACUACUUACAUUAUUCCAACCAUAAGAGUUACUUGCUUGACAUGUGAGUAGACCUCCAUGCAAGUACUCUCGUUCGAUUGUGUUCAGUGAACUCAUUCCCUGAAUGAGCACUUACAUACUUGUCUUAGUGUCACUCACAAAUGGGAUGAGACUUUCCAUUCUCCCAUUUGAAGCGGACAUAGUAUGUACCGGUCUAAGCAUUGUCAGUUUCCCUCCGACAAUCCAAUGACCAGGAACCUUUUGGACAUAAUGGUUAUGUGAAGAAGGUCUCUGUAGUCUAACAUCAUUAGAUUACUUCUUCAAUCGAUCCAUUGUCCAUGGAUUCAUUAAUUAGGACAUAUAUCAUUUAUUGAGAUAGUCCUAAUUAGUAUCUUUGCCAUUUGAUGUAUAAGAGUCAUCCAUACAUCGAUUCAUUUGUCCUGAAAGGUUUCUUCCAAAGAUUGACUUUCAGGGCAUAUUUCCAACAUGGGUAACCAUGAUAUGCUGCUAGGUGUCACUUUUGGUUUGUGGAAGCCCUAAACGUGUAUAAACACUAAAGGGAGAAUUGAAAGUAAGUUUCAAUUCACAAUCGAUUUGAAAGAGUUUUAAUCGCCUACUGCCUCGCUAAAAGGAACCUAAU